UUUUUUUUUUUUUUUUUGAGACAGGGUUUCUCUACAUAGCCCUGGCUGCCCUGGAACUUGCUCUGUAGAUCAGGCUAUCCUCUAACUCAGAGAUGUAUCUGCUUCUGCCUUCUGAGUUCUAGGAUCAAAGGUGUCCCCACAACUGUCUAGCUUCUACUUGAUUUUAAAAGAGGAUCUCUCGUUGAUCCUGGUUGGCUGGAAAGCCCCAGGGAUCUUCCUGUCUCUCUUCCCAGUGCUGGGAUUACAGGCUUGGGCCACUGUUCUGACUUUUAUGUGUGUUUUGGGGAUUUGAACCAAGACCCUCAUUAUAGAAUGGCAAGCACUCUGGGCUGCUGAGAUGGCUCAGUGGUUAAGAGCACUGACUGUUCUUCCGAAGGUCCUGAGUUCAAAUCCUAGCAACCACAUGGUGGCUUACAACCACCCUUAAUGAGAUCUGAUGCCCUCAUCUGGUGUGUCUGAAGUCAUCUACAGUGUAUUUAUGAUAAUAAAGACUGAAGAAGUAGAGUUGACCAGAGCAAGCAGGGCCAACCAGAGCGAGCAGAGGUCCUAAAAACUCAAUUCCCAACAACCACAUGAAGGCUCACAACUAUCUGUACAGCUAGUUGUACUCACAUGCAUAAAAUAAAUAAAUAAAUCUUAAAAAAAAAAAAAAAGAAUGGCAAGCACUCUUUCUACUGAACAGUCUUCCAAGCCCUUGUAAUAUUUUUAAUAUUAAUAGAUCUAAAUUAACCUUUAGGUCUUUACAAUAUUUAAAUAAUAAUAAUUCUUCUUCCUCUUCCUCCUCCUCCUCUUCUUCCUCUUCUUCUUCUUAUUUAUUUUAUGUAUAGGAGUACUUUGUAGCUGUCUUCAGACACACUAGAAGAGGGCAUCGGAUCCAAUUACAGAUGAUUGUGAGCCACCAUGUGGUUGCUAGGAAUUGAAUUUGGGACCUCUAGGAGAGCAGUCAGUGCCUUUAACCACUGAGCCAUCUCUCCAGCCCUUAAAUUCUUUUUUGUUGUUGUUGUUGUUUUUGUUUUUUGAGACAGGGUUUCUCUGUGUAGCCCUGGCUGUCCUGGAACUCACUUUGUAGACCAGGCUGGCCUCGAACUUAGAAAUCCACCUACUUCUGCCUCCCAAAUGCUGGGAUUAAAGGCAUGCGCCACCACCGCCCUGCUUUAAAUUCUUAUUAAUCAAGGAUAUAAUAACCUUUUAAAAACAUACCAAAAUGCUUUAUGUUUAUUUCAAGCAGUUAUGUACUGAAACUAAACUUCGUCAAUCACAGGAUUGCUUGAGAUAAGCAGUUCUUCAGAGAGAAGAGUGAAAUGAUAGGAAGUAGAGGAGGCCACAGGCAGAAUAGAUUGGUUUCCACAGAGUCCUACUAGAGCAGGGAGAAAGAAGUAGAAAUACUGAAAGAAGUAGAAGUGUAGCUUUUGAAGGUCCUUAGUCUUGGGGACUGGGUAGAUUGCUCAGUUUUUAAGAGUAUCUGCUGCUCUUCCAGAAGACCCAGACUCAAUUCCUAGCACCCACAUGGCAGCUGACAACCAUCUGUAACUCUAGCUCCAAGACAUACAAUGCCCUCUUCUGGCUUCUGCAGCUAUUUGACAUGCACAUGGUACACAGACAGACACACAUGAAGGCAAAACACUCAUACACAUAAAAUACAAAUGAAUAAAAUGACUUAUUCUUCACAGCUACGGGCUUUAAGAAAUUGAACUACUAGGAGGACUAGGAUGACAAACAACUUUAAUCCCAGUACUUGGGAGGCAGAGGCAGGUGAAUUUCUGUGAGUUCGAGGCCAGCCUAGCCUAUAGCACUAGAUCCAGAACAGCCAGUGUCACUUAAGUUUUUUGUUUUUUUAGAGAUUUAUUUAUUUAUUAUAUGUGUGUGCACUGUAGCUGUCUUCAGAUACUCCAGAAGAGGGCAUCAGAUUUUUGUUACAGAUGGUUGUGAUCCACCGUGUGGUUGCUGGGAUUUGAACUCAGGACCUUUGGAAGAACAGUCGGUGCUCUUAACCGCUGAGCUAUCUCACCAACCACCACUUAAUUCUUUAGGUUAAAGAAUUAUUUAUUCACUAAAAAGGAUAGAGACCCUGGUGAUGGUAGUGUACGCCUUUAAUCCCAGUACUCAGGAGCCAGAGGCAGGUGGAUCUCUAUGAAUUCAAGGUCAGACUGGUCUACAGAGCAAGUUCCAGGAUAGCCAAAGGUACACAGAGAAACCCUGUCUCAAAAUAGCCAAACC
rnacentral:lncRNA from 1 species